CCUACGGGAGGCAGCAGUGAGGAAUAUUGGUCAAUGGGCGCGAGCCUGAACCAGCCAUGUAGCGUGAAGGAUGACUGCCCUACGGGUUUUAAACUUCUUUUAUAAAGGAAUAAAGUGUGGCACGUGUGCCUUUUUUUAUGUACUUUAUGUAUAAGGAUCGGCUAACUCCGUGCCAGCAGCCGCGGUAAUACGGAGGAUCCGAUCGUUAUCCGGAUUGAUUGGGUUUAAAGGGAGCGUAGAUGGGUUGUUAAGUCAGUUGUGAAAGUUUGCGGCUCAACCGUAAAAUUGCAAUUGAUACUGGCAGUCUUGAGUACAGUUGAGGUAGGCGGAAUUCGUGGUGUAGCGGUGAAAUGCUUAGAUAUCACGAAGAACUCCGAUUGCGAAGGCAGCUUACUAAACUGCCACUGACAUUGAUGCUCGAAAGUGUGGGUAUCAAACAGGAUUAGAUACCCUAGUAGUC
rnacentral:rRNA from 1 species